rnacentral:rRNA from 1 species
AGAAUCAACGCUGGCGGCGUGCCUAACACAUGCAAGUCGAACGCGGUUGCCCCGCAAGGGGUGACUGAGUGGCAAACGGGUGAGUAACGCGUGGGUGACCUACCUUCGAGUGGGGGAUAACGUUUCGAAAGGAACGCUAAUACCGCAUGACAUCCUGCCUUUGGACAGGCGGAGAUCAAAGCCGGGGAUCGCAAGACCUGGCGCUUAAAGAGGGGCCCGCGUCCGAUUAGCUAGUUGGUGGGUAACGGCUCACCAAGGCGACGAUCGGUA